rnacentral:rRNA from 1 species
AUUGAACGCUGGCGGCAGGCCUAACACAUGCAAGUCGAACGGUAACAGGAAGCAGCUUGCUGCUUUGCUGACGAGUGGCGGCCGGGUGAUUAAUGUCUGUGAAACUGCCAGAUGGAGGGGGAUAACUACUGGAAACGGUAGCUAAUACCGCAUAACGUCGCAAGACCAAAGAGGGGGACCUUAGGGCCUCUUGCCAUCGGGUGUGCCCAGAUGGGAUUAGCUAGUAGGUGGGGUAACGGCUCACCUAGGCGACGAUCCCUAGAUGGUCUGAGAGGAUGACCAGCCACACUGGAACUGAGAAACGGUCCAGACUCCUACGGGAAGCAGCAGUGAGGAAUAUUGCACAAUGGGCGGAAGCCUGAUGCAGCCAUGCCGCGUGUAUGAAGAAGGCCUACGGGUUGUAAAGUAUGUUCGGCGGGGAGGAAGGGAGUAAAGUUAAUACCUUGGCUCAUUGACGUUACCCGCAGAAGAAGCACCGGCUGACUCCGUG